rnacentral:rRNA from 1 species
GGCCUACCAUGCAGUCGAAGGGGUAACAUAGAAAAGCUUGCUUUUCUGAUGACGACCGGCGCACGGGUGCGUAACGCGUAUACAACCUACCUUUUAGCGGGGAAUAGCCCAGGGAAACUUGGAUUAAUGCCCCAUAGUAUAUAGACUUCUCCUGAAGUUUAUAUUAAACAUUUAUGGCUAUUAGAUGGGUAUGCGUCCUAUUAGUUAGUUGGUAAGGUAACGGCUUACCAAGGCAGCGAUAGGUAGGGGUCCUGAGAGGGAGAUCCCCCACACUGGUACUGAGACACGGACCAGACUCCUACGGGAGGCAGCAGUGAGGAAUAUUGGACAAUGGGCGAGAGCCUGAUCCAGCCAUGCCGCGUGCAGGAAGACUGCCCUAUGGGUUGUAAACUGCUUUUACAGAGGAAGAACCACCCCCACGUGUGGGGGUUUGACGGUACUCUGCGAAUAAGGAUCGGCUAACUCCGUGCCAGCAGCCGCGGUAAUACGGAGGAUCCAAGCGUUAUCCGGAAUCAUUGGGUUUAAAGGGUCCGUAGGCGGGCAGUUAAGUCAGUGGUGAAAGUCUUCCGCUCAACGGGAGAACUGCCAUUGAUACUGAUUGUCUUGAGUUAUUAUGAAGUGGUUAGAAUGAGUAGUGUAGCGGUGAAAUGCAUAGAUAUUACUCAGAAUACCGAUUGCGAAGGCAGAUCACUAAUAAUAUACUGACGCUGAUGGACGAAAGCGUAGGUAGCGAACAGGAUUAGAUACCCUGGUAGUCUACGCCGUAAACGAUGGUUACUAGCUGUUCGGCCCAAUUGAGGGCUGAGUGGUUAAGCGAAAGUGAUAAGUAACCCACCUGGGGAGUACGUUCGCAAGAAUGAAACUCAAAGGAAUUGACGGGGGCCCGCACAAGCGGUGGAGCAUGUGGUUUAAUUCGAUGAUACGCGAGGAACCUUACCAGGGCUUAAAUGUAGUCUGACAGGUCUGGAAACAGACUUUUCUUCGGACAGAUUACAAGGUGCUGCAUGGUUGUCGUCAGCUCGUGCCGUGAGGUGUCAGGUUAAGUCCUAUAACGAGCGCAACCCCUGUGGUUAGUUGCCAGCGAGUAAUGUCGGGAACUCUAGCCAGACUGCCGGUGCAAACCGCGAGGAAGGUGGGGAUGACGUCAAAUCAUCACGGCCCUUACGUCCUGGGCCACACACGUGCUACAAUGGUAGGGACAGAGAGCAGCCACUUCGCGAGAAGGAGCGAAUCUACAAACCCUAUCACAGUUCGGAUCGCAGUCUGCAACUCGACUGCGUGAAGCUGGAAUCGCUAGUAAUCGCAUAUCAGCCAUGAUGCGGUGAAUACGUUCCCGGGCCUUGUACACACCGCCCGUCAAGCCAUGGAAGCCGGGGGUACCUGAAGUCGGUCACCGCAAGGAGCCGCCUAGGAGACUGC